CGUGCUAUGAAGAGAUAAAGCACAAACGGUGUUUUUGGGCAGUGGAUUAAGAAGAGCUUAUGAACUCUUCUCCGUGAGCCUAAUUAACUAACGACUUCUCCUUCAUCUGAGCAUA
rnacentral:snoRNA from 1 species